AUAAAACAGUUUAUUUUUGGAGGUGUGGUCUGAAAUUUAUUAUAUUCAAAAUUUUUAAAACUUAAGCAUAACUUUGUUGUUUUUCUCAGCCUCCAGCUGCACCAACAAGUAGAAAUUAUGCAGAAAUGAGGGAAAAGCUUCGCUUACGGCUGACCAAGAGGAAAGAGGAGCAACCUAAAAAAAUGGACCAGAUCUCAGAAAGGGAAAGCGUCGUUGACCAUCGGAGGGUGGAGGAUUUGUUGCAGUUUAUAAAUAGCUCCGAAACCAAACCAGUGAGCAGCACGCGUGCCGCGAAGCGAGCAAGGCAUAAGCAAAGGAAGCUGGAGGAGAAAGCUCGCCUAGAAGCAGAGGCCAGGGCCCGAGAGCACCUGCACCUCCAGGAGGAGCAGAGGCGGCGGGAGGAGGAGGAUGAGGAAGAAGAGGAGGACCGUUUCAAGGAGGAAUUUCAGCGGCUUCAGGAGCUUCAGAAGCUAAGAGCUGUGAAAAAGAAGAAGAAGGAGAGGCCAAGUAAAGACUGCCCCAAGUUGGACAUGCUCACUAGAAAUUUCCAGGCAGCAACAGAGUCUGUUCCUAACU
rnacentral:sRNA from 1 species